AACGAACGCUGGCGGCAGGCUUAACACAUGCAAGUCGAACGCAUCCUUCGGGGUGAGUGGCAGACGGGUGAGUAACGCGUGGGAACGUGCCCUUCAGUUCGGGAUAACCCAGGGAAACUUGGGCUAAUACCGGAUACGUGCGAGAGCAGAAAGAUUUAUCGCUGAAGGAUCGGCCCGCGUCCGAUUAGCUAGUUGGUGGGGUAAUGGCCCACCAAGGCGACGAUCAGUAGCUGGCCGGAGAGGAUGAUCAGCCACAUUGGGACUGAGACAGGGCACAAACUCCUACGGGAGGCAGCAGUGGGGAAUAUUGGACAAUGGGCGCAAGCCUGAUCCAGCCAUGCCGCGUGAGUGAUGAAGGCCUUAGGGUUGUAAAGCUCUUUCGUCCGGGACGAUAAUGACGGUACCGGAAGAAGAAGCCCCGGCUAACUUCGUGCCAGCAGCCGCGGUAA
rnacentral:rRNA from 1 species